CGGCAUGCAAUUCGGCUGGCUUGUGAGAGCCCUUGUCCCGAGUCCGUGCCGGUGAGUUGUUCCGGGUUCGGGCGAGCCUCACGGCUCCGUGGUCUUUGAUGUGGUUGAGAGAAGCCAAAUGUUCCCAGCAAAGGCUGAGGAAGGCAUUCUGGAGUCCAGAGCAGGUAGAGAUGGGAAUGGGGGCGUCCGAGGACUUAGGGCUGAGUGAAGUCCAAGGGAAUGGCCUGAGGGAGACCUCGAGAUUACCUGGGUGCCUUAGAUUACCUGCCGCUGUGCCUGGCGGUUGAACAGAUGGCUGUGUCAUGGCCUGAGCUGGUGAAUUCGCUGUGGGGACCCUGUGUGGAAUUACGUUAAUGGUUAGUGUCUGAGCUCCCGCCCUUGUGAGUCGGCUUCUUUCGGGGUUAAGAGAUCACGUCCCGCUGGUGGAAGGUCACACCGGGGGUCGUGAAUGAAUGCAGUGACUGGGGGUUUGUGCGACGGUCUCUAGGACCGAGAGACUUGAAGAGAUCUGUAAGAUUCUUUCUGUUAAUAUCUGUAACCAAAGAUGACUUCAGUAUUUGUGAGAUUUUUUUUUAAUUUAGUUUUUAGUUUUAGGUGGACACAAUAUCUUUAUUUUUUAUGUGGUGCUGAGGAUCGAACCCAGUGCCUCAUGCAUGCUAGGCGAGCACUCUACCACUGAACCACAACCCCAGCCCCUGUGAGAUGUUUUUUUAAGUAGACAUUUCUUGGUCUGCAUACCAUGGUGACCAUGAAAAUGGAUCACUGUCCAGCUGUGAUUUUUUAAAAAACUGUUCAAUGUUAUCUAAUUUGGUAUGAAUUUAAUUACCUGACUAUUGGCCACUAUGUGGAAAACUGUGGUUGUGUGUUGUGAUUGUGAGCGGCAAUAAACUGCGGUUACAUUAUCUGUAAAAUAUAUUGGGUUAUUACAAUUUAAAAAAAAUUUUUUUUAGUUUUUAAUGGACCUUUACUUAUUUAUAUGUGAUGUCAAGAAUCAAACCCAGUGCUUCACACAUGCUAGGCAAGGGCUCUACCACUGAACUAUGACCCCAGCCCAGUUACUUUGUGUGUGUGUGUGUGUGUGUGUGUGUGUGUGUUUUACUGGGGAUUGAACCCAGGACCUUGCAGAUACAAGGCAAGCACUCUACCAACUGAGCUAUACCUUAGCCCUUUUAAAAGAUCCAAUCUAACUAGUCCCUCUGAAGUGUGCAAAGGUGGAGAAAGAGUAAAGAAGGAAGCUCACACAUAGGAAGUAAGAGUUCAUUCGGCCACUGAGCCACAUCCCCAGCCCUAAUUUGUAUUUUUACUUAGAGACAGGGUCUCACUGAAUUGCAUAGUGCCUCGCCAUUAAUGAAGCUGACUUUGAACUUGGGAUCCUCCUGUUUCCGCCUCCAGAGCCACUGGGAUUAUCGGCGUGUGCACCUGGCUACAUCUUACUGUAGCAUCAAGUUUAAGAUGCAGAAAAAGAUUUGCAGUUUAUCUGGUAUUAUUUAGAUAUGUAUUAUGAAUCAAAGAUGUUUUCUGGAAAGAGUGCAAAUCAGUAUAUAUGGGAAGCCGUUCUUGCACGUGAUUGGUCUACCUCCCUGACUGGGUGUCAGGCGUUCAGACCAGCUGUGUCAGAGCCUUCCCCACCCUUUCCAGGUGGGAGGGCUUGUCCGUGUGGGGGUGUGACUGACCAUUGACCUGGAAACCAAUCAUUGACCCUGACCUUGGAAUGCUGUCCCCCUCUACCUUCAUUGGAUGGAAUUUUCCCCUGAAUUUUUUGUUCCCCAAUAAAAGCCCACUCUCUGGCAUGCUUCUUCCUCUUUCCUGCUGGUCUCUUGUGUAAACCUCGCUACCGCCAGGUGGCUGGAGGCAGGAGCCGGGAGAAGCCGUCUCUUACCUGGGCAAGAAAAAGGUAAAUUGAUUAUGUGUCUUUAUUUUGAUCUCACUAGUUAACUUCUAUGUUUGGAACCUCUAGUAUGAAGCUAGCGUGCUGGUCGCGCAGCAGAAGUAUAACUUUUAAAAAGAAAGAAGAAAUCAAAGUAACAUGAAGUCAUGAAGUGGCUGAGGUAGGCUCCCAUUCUUCUAUAAUAUUGAAGGGACUUGAGCAGAUAAGUUUGGAGAGCCCUGGGUUAAGAAAUAGCUUUCCACUUGUAAAGACAUGUGGAUUGAAACACAGCCAGAAUUAGGAAGUCAGAUGUACUAGAUUAUAGGUCAGGUAAGGCAAAGAACCUUUCUGAGACUGCAUUAUAUGUAGUUAUUCACCACAUAACUACUUGCUUUAUUUUUAAAAAGUAAUAAUUAACACGUUUUGUUACAUUCUAAAUAUACAAAAUGUCACUUCCAUUUUCUAAGCAGGGCCUGAUUUCUCUGUUGCAUCUGUCAGUAAUGACCCUAUUCUUCUGACAUGUCUGAUGGUCUCCUUUUUUCUAUCUGGAAUGGAGAUAAAACCAGAUGAGGCUGGGUGUGGUGACACACUAGGAGGAUCAAGAGUUCAAAGCCAGCAUCAGGAACAGCGAGGUGAUAAGCAACUCAAUGAGACCCUGUCUCUAAAUAAAAUACAAAAUAGGGCUGGGGUGUGGCUCAGUGACUGAGUGCCUCUGAGUUCAAUCCCCAGUAUGCCCCCACACACACAAAAAAAGGAAAGCACACGAAGCUCCUAAAACUAAUAAAAGAUUGUAACUGGGUUUUAUCAUAUAAGGUUAACGUGGAAUUUGAAAUUAAAGACAUGCUAUCUUAAUAUUAUUGUCUCUCCAAAAUGAAAUACUUAGUUAUAAAUCUGACAAAAUAUGUACAAGAUCUAUGAGGGAAACUGAAAGACCAAUAAAAUGAAUCAAAAAAGAACAAAUAAGUGGAGAGAAAUUCCAUGUUCACAGAUAGAAAAACUCAGUAUAGUCAGAAUGCCAGUUCUUCCAACUUGAUUCUAGAUUCAAUGAAAUCUCAGUCAAAAUUCCAGCAAUUUUGUGGAUAUUGACAAACUGAUUCUAAAAUUUAUAUGGAGAAGCAUAAGGCCCAGAAUAGUCAGCACAAUAUAGAAGAAGGAAAAAAAAUCACAGGACCAACAUUAAGUUAUUUCAAGACUCUAUAAACUAUAGUAAUCAAGGUCCAGUUGUUGUAUUGGCAAAAGAAUAGGCAAAUGGAAAUGGGGGUAUAGCUCAGUAGUAGAGCAUUUGCUUAGCAUGCAUGAUGCUCUGGGUUCAGUCCCCAACACUGCCAAAAGAUAAAAAAGGAACAGGCAAAUAGAUCCAUGGAAUAGAAAAGAGACCUCAGAAAUUGACUCAUAUAGUCAACUGAUCUUUGACAAAGGGGCAAAGGCAGUACAAUAAAGAAGAGGUAGUCCUUUCAACAAAUGAUGCUGGUACAAUUGGGUAUCCACAUGCAAGAAAGAAAAGAACCCAGAUAUAGAUCUUAUACCCAGUUACAAAAAUUGACUCAAAAUUGAUCAAAACCUAAAUGUAAAUUCAAAAUUAUAAAAACUACUAGAAUAUUGCAGAAGAGAAAUCUAUCUGAGUGCAAGAUCUUGGAUCUGGCAUUAAUUUUUAGAUACAACACCAAAGACAAGAUCUGUAAAAGAAAUUAUUAAAAAUCUGGAGUUCAUUAAAAUUAAAGUUUCUGGGUUAAAGACACUGUCAAGAGAUUGAGAAGAUUUGCCACAUGCUGGGAAAAAAAUGACAUAUCAAACAAAGUUCCAUUAUUCAAAAUGUACCAAGAACUCAACAAUAAGAGAUUAAAACCUGACUUAAAAAAAUAGACAAAAGAUCUAGAGACACCUCACAAAAGAUACAAAUUUAGCAAAUAAGCACUUGAAAAGAUGCUCAAUAUCAUGCAUGAGUCAUAGAGAAUUUUAAAAGUAAAAUGAGAUUAUCACACCUAUCAGAAUAGAUAAAACCCAAAAAACUAACAACACCAAAUGCUGGUGAGGAUGUGGAGCAACAGGAAGUCUCAUUGCUGCUAGCGUUGCAAAAUGGGUACAGCCACUUUGGAAAACAGUUUGGCAGUUUCUUGCAAACUAGGCAUUCUCUUACCAUACAAUCCAGCAAUUGCACUCUCUGACAUUUACCCAAAUUAGUUGAAAACAUGUUCACACAAAUCUACAUAUGCAUGUUCAUAGCAUUUUUUAUUCAUAGUUGCCAAAACUUUGAGUUUUUUUUUUUAAUGUUUGUGUGUGUGUGCUGUGUGUUGAACUCAGGGGUGCUCCACCACUGAGUCACAUCCCAAGGCCUUUUUUAUUUAUUUAUUUAUUUUGAGAUAGCCUUUCUAAGUUCCCCAGAUUGGCUUUGAACUUGCAAUCUUCCUGCCUCAGUCUCUCAGUUUGCUGGGAUUUCAGGUGUCCACCACCACAGAAUUGCCAAAACUUGAAAGUAACCAAGAUGUCCUUAAGUAGGGAAAUGGAAAAAUAAACUGUGGUAAAUCCAUGCAAUGGAACAGUAUUCGGCACUAAAAAUAAAUGAGCUGAUAUCACAGCAUAAAAAGACACUGAGGAACCUCCAAUGUGUAUUACUAGAUGAAAGAAACUUAUCUGAAAAGGCUACAUACUAUGUGAUACCAACCAUUUGACAUUCUGGAAAAGGAAAACCUGUGGAAAUAAAAAUAUCCACAGUGGCCAGAGAUUAGAGGGAGAAGGAGGUAUGAAUAGGCAGAACAUAGAAGAUUGCUAGGGUAGUGCCACUACUCUGUAUGAUAUCAUAAUAGUGGAUACAUGGCAUUAUGCAUUUAUCCAAACCCAUAGAAUGUACAUUCUGUAAACUAUGGACUUUAAGUAAUAAUGAUGUGUCUGUGCUGAUUCAUUGAAUGUAACAAGUUUCUCACUCCAAUGCAGGAUGUUGAUACUGGAGUGGCUGUGUGUGUCAGAGGCAAGGGUGUUUAUGGGCAUCCCCCCAGUACCUUCUGCUCAGUUAAGUUGUGGACCCAAAAUUGCUCUAAAAAGCAAUCUUUAAAAAAAAAAAGAAAAGAAAAACUAAAUUCAAAUUGAAGUUUUUCUAGGAAUGCAAGGUUGAUUUAACAUCAGGAAAUAUAGGUAUGUCACUCACCAAAAUAGAUUAAAGGAAAUUAUCAUGAUUAUUCCAUAAAUAAAAUUAGCAUUUUGACAACAUUCAACAAUUAUUCCUGACACAAAACUUUUGCCAAAGUAGGAAAUGAAGAAGUGGGAACCAGCCACACAGAGACUAAGAAGAAGGAAACAGAAUUGUGUUAUUUCAUUGACAUCAAGGGGGAACGAAGCAAGAAAGCAAAGGUUGUUAGUUACAGAUGAAGUCAAGUCAUGUGGCACAAAGCACUGCCCAUAUGAUCUAUUAAGGCUUGAGUUACUGAGUUUUAUAGUGAAAAUUUAUACCGAGGCCAAAUACUAAAAUAAAACUUUGAAUUUUACUGUGAGGACAUCAAACUUUUAUUUGUCUCAAUUGUCACCCAGAAAAAAAUCAAGGAAGUAAUGGCUGUGCAUCUUAAUUAUUAAUCCCAACUGCCCUUGAAGGAGAUAAUUAACAUGCUGCUGUAUAAUUAUUUGGAUCAAGCCUGGCUCAAUGGCACAUGCCUGUAAUCCUAGCUAUCCAAGAAACUGAAACAGGAGGAUCACAAAUUCUUUGACUCUUCCUCCCAACCAGGAAUGUUGCAUCAGGAUGGGGUGAAAUAGAAGAAUCUGGCACUGCCAAGAAACUUCAGUUCAGUGGUUCUCACACUUUAGCAUGCACCAGAAUCACCUGAAAGUUCUGUUAUAACAGAUUUGUAGUAGGGUGGUGGCACCUGCUAUUAGUCCCAGCACUCAGGAGGCAAAGGCAGGAGGAUUGCUAGUUAGUCCUCUGAAUCAAACUAAUCUAGCUUCAACACUCCACAGUCCUAACAGAUGUUUAAAGUUCAAACUUUAUCCCAUGGGCGAUUGUUUGGGUUUCUUCUAUCAGGGGUCUUUGUAAACUUACAUUCAUGUCCCCACCAGAAGGCCUUGAUAUAUAUUUAAGAUGGCAUAUAAAUUUUAAAUAAUGUGACUGAAUAACUACAAAAGUCCAAUAUUUUGAAUAUUUACACCUUUUAAAUAAGACUCUUGCUGGGCACAGUGGCACACACCUGUAAUCCCAGCAGUUCAGGAGGCUGAGGCAGGAGGAUUUCGAGUUCAAAGCCAGCCUCAGCAACUUAGCGAGGAACUAUGCAACUCAGCGAGACCCUAUCUCUAAAUAAAAUACAAAAUAGGGCUAGGGAUGUGGCUCAGUGGCCAAGUGUCCCUGAGUUCAAUCUCUGGUAUCCACCUCCCCCAAAAUAAGACUCCUACAUCAUUCUUUUAGGUUUAAAUAAUAUAAUUUUUAAAACCAUCCAUAUUAAAAUAAAUGAACAAGUCAGAAAGUGUGUUUUAGCAAUCAAUGUAUGUAAAAUAUUUCAACAAAUCUAAGGUGCCACUGAUUGUAGAAGACACUAUUGUUUUAUGUACCUCUUUAUUACUCAAGGUUCAAGAAGGAAUGAGAAAUAAUUUCAAUUGUUUCACUCAGAAGUUAAUACAGGAACUUGAUUGCUUGAAAACCAAAGAAGCAGCUGGGUGCAAUGGUGCAUGCCAUAAUCCCAGCAACUCAGGAGACAGGAGGAUCAUAAAUUCAAGACCAGCCUCAGCAAUUUAGUGAGAUCCUGUCUCAAAAAAAAUAAGGGCUGGGGAUGUAGCUCAGUGGUAAAGCAUUGGCAUCCUGGGUUCCAUCCUCAGUUACGCAAAAAAAAAAAAAAGAAAAGAACACAAAUAAUUUUAAAAAUUAGAAUAAACUUGAAAACUUACGAAACAGUCAUUUUCCUGGCAAGCUAUAACUACAUUGACAGAAGAAACUUUAUUAGUAGACAGCCAGCUUUCAAUGACAUAGUAUCAGUAGUUUAGAAUUUAAAUCCUAAUCACCAGGUUUAGGCAACUGUGUGAAAGAGCUUAAUUAGGGUUCAUGUCAUGUGUCAUUUACUUGUCAUUUCAGAUCCUCUUGACCUUACCUGGGCCUGAGGUCUUUGGAAACUUGUUUCUAUUGGGGGUUGGGGGGAGAUUGAAACCAGGGGCGCUCUACUACUGAGGUACAUCCCCAGCCUAUUUUAGUUUUUAUUUUGAAACAAGGUCUCACCAAGUUCCCAGACUAGCCUUGAUCUUGUGAUCUUCCUGCUUCAUGUCCCAAGUCUGAGAUUACAGGUGUGCCCCACCACACCCAGUCUGAAACUCGUUUCUCUUGUUUCUCUGCAGCAGCAACCAACACUAUGUGAACUCACGCCAGCCCACAUGGGCACAGCAGCAGCAGCCCCUGACCUCAGGCUGCACUGGGCACCUCUUCCUUAAGCCCUGGGGCUUCCCUGUGGAUGCCAGCACUUGACACUUCAGAGAACCCGUUGAACUCCCAGACAAACACAACCUGGAAGCACAGCAAGUUCGUGCUGUCUGGAGCCUUUCAUGAGUGACAGGAGCCAGUGGCUAAAUUCAUCUCCCUUCUUGAAUCGCACUUGACAGCUAGCAGUGGUCAGCUCAGGCAGACAAUCUCCAACGCCCUCCCCUGCUCUCCCUUAUGUCAGCUUCCCCAGAAUGGUACUGCCUGAGAAAACAGCGCAGAAACUUCUCAGUGUUCUCCUUGUGGGGAACAUAAGCCAAGAGGCUUGUUUCCAGGGGAGGUUCUCGGAAGCAGACCCUUGUACUAGGACUUCGAGUUGAUUGUUUACCCAAGUUUGGCCCAAGUCCAUCUCACAAUGAGGUCCAUGAGUGCAUGAAUCCACCCUGUGGUUAUUUUCCUCCACCUUUUAAUUUAUUUUCCUCCACCUUUUAAUAUAUAUUUUGGAUAGAUGCACUUCAUCAUUUGGUAGAAUUCACCUCGAUGGCUUCUGAACCUGUGAAUUAAGGGUGAUUAUGGUAUAAAUGGCCAAGUGAAAACACUUGAAACUUACCACUGUAUCAUGGAAAGCCCUGUAGAGAACUGUACCUAUGCCAAAAACUUAAGAGGGUACAUGAUCAUUUUCCCCCAUCAUAUCCCCAUUGAUUUCUCUUUGUCUCUAUAAAAAUUUACAUGUCUAAAGCAAGUGGAUGUGGUAAAUUAAAAAAUUACCCCAAAUUGUGAGUUAAGUAAACCUAUUUUCUUUAUAAAUUUCCCAGCCUUGGGUAUUUUGUUAUAGCAGUAAAAAUGGAGUUAAGUCAGGCCCCAACCAAAUAGAGCCAGUAGUCCUUAUGGAGCUGGAGUAAUGUCCUGUAGCUCCAGUGCACUGCCUGGUGAGAACCAUUUAGUUGCUGGGUUAUGGGGAACAGGGGAACCCAGGGUGACUGUUGAAGAACUAAGUUGGGCAGAGUGGGGAACCUGGACUGCCUGAGAGCUGUAGUAUCUCUAGGGAUACCAGUCUGAGAGAGACAGG
rnacentral:lncRNA from 1 species